CGCAACUUGGAGUUAAAGUUAGCAUAAGUGAAUUCCUGUUAAAAUAUUUUGUACAUGUACAUAAGGCGUUCCUUUUUCAUUUGCUAUUUUCAUUCGUUCUCCCACAUUUUUCAACACUAAAAUCAUAUGACUUCAUCAAUUUCAGCACGAGUAAAAAAAAUACUACUCACAGCUUCAUCUUCAUCAACUUUUUCCCAUGAUAAUAUACAAGUUUCACUUCUUUUUGUGCUCGUAUUUUUGUUUAGGUUUGGCAAUUAGAUAAGCUUAGCUGCUUUUAUUUCUUUCUCGUCCAUUUUUUUAGUCUAGAUAUAAAUAUGUUUCCGUGUAUGCUAUGGGGUUGUGAGACAUGAAUAUUGAAUCAAUUGGAAACAUGCACCAAACAUCUUCGCAUCUUGUAAAAUCCAAUAUCUUUUCCAUAUACAAUUUAACAAUUCUUCUGUGUCUUUUGCAUCUCUACAAAAACCGCUUUCUAUAUUUCUCUCCUUGGUUCAGCCAAGUUAAAUGGUGAUUUUAUUUAUUUAUUUAUUUUUUAAUUUGGGUUGAAAAUUUUAUGUGAGAGUGCACAGGUGUAUGAGACUAUGGAUGUUGGUUAAGUGUGUAUUUAUAUGAGAAAUAGUGAGAGAGAUUGAGAAAUAGUAGUGAUGUGCACCAAACAUGCACUAAACUUGCACUUAUGUUCACAUCAUGUGGAAUCUAUUACCUUUUGUGUACACGGGUACACAAUUCCAAGUAAAUAGAAGUUAUUACAAAUGAGAAUUACCGUCAAAGAUAACUCUCCAAAUUUUCAUAAACUUUGGAGUGCUACCAAAAAAUGCACUUUUCUUUGUGUUAAAGGCAGAACGAAAAAAUAAAAUUCUUUAUAAAAAAAUAAUUGGAACA
rnacentral:lncRNA from 1 species